rnacentral:rRNA from 1 species
ACGCUCGACACCUACGAGGCAGCAGUCGGGAAUAUUGCGCAAUGGAGGAAACUCUGACGCAGUGACGCCGCGUGCAGGAAGAAGGUUUUCGGAUUGUAAACUGCUUUAGACAGGGAAGAAAGAAAUGACAGUACCUGUAGAAUAAGCUCCGGCUAACUACGUGCCAACAGCCGCGGUAAUCUGAGCGGGCUGGCAAGGC